rnacentral:rRNA from 1 species
GAUUAACGCUGGCGGCGUGCAUAACACAUGCAAGUCGAACGAUGAAACUCAUUAUUUUUCUUCUGAAUGAAAAUGAAUGGAUUAGUUGCGACCUGGUGAGUCACCCGUUAGUAACCUGCCUUACACAAGGGGAUAGCCUCUGUAAACGGUGAAUAAUACCCUAUGAUACCAGACAAUCGCAUGAUAAUCUGGUCAAAAUGUUUAGCGGUGUAUGAUGGACUUGAGUAUGAUUAGCUAGUUGGUGAGAUAAAAGCUCACCAAGGCAACGAUCAGUAGCCGGAGGGAGAGAGUGUACGGCCACAUUGAGACAGAGACAAGACCCAGACGCCUACGAGAGGCAGCAGUGGGGAAUUAUGCACAAUGAGGGAAACGCAGAAGCAGCGAGGCAGCGUGAAUGAGAAGGCGGUCGGAUUGUAAAAAUAGUUUGGAUAGGAAGAAAAUGACAGUACUAUAAGAAUAAGGGCCGGCUAAUUACGUG